CUCUUUUAUUGUGUCAGACUUUCUGUUCUGUUCUCAGUGAAACGACACAAAUACGUUGCUUCAGAACUGGCUAAGAGAUGCGCAUGGAGGAGGUUGCUAGCAGGUUCAGCAUGAUUAGCACCCCUGGAAGCAGAAAGAGGUUGGUUUAAUGAUUGCAAAUGAUUGUUUAUGUAUUUAAGAGACAGAAAGGUUGUCGUUAAUUCAUUUUAUUAAAUGCUGUAACAUAAAUAGUUUCAAAGCUAUUGAUUUAUGUCAAUGUCACUAUUUGAGUUAAUCAAAAUAAUUUUCUAUAUAGUAAAAUGUGAACAUUUCUGCACUUUCUACUUAAAUGUUAUAAUGGCAUUUGUUUGUGCAUCUUUAUAGUUUUCAUGGUGGUUUAAAGAGGAGAGAAUAAAGUGGCAUCAGUCGAAGCUUUCUGCGUUAUGAGUGGUAAUUCCAAGUGGGCAGCUACAAACACCACUGGAUAAGGACACAGAUAAAAUGUGUUAGCAGUCUGAGGCCUGUUGUCCAUCAUUGUACUUAUGAAGUCAUUUUUUUUCUCUGAGAAGGGACGGGGAAGUAUUUCUGUGAGAAUGUGGGUACAGCAGCAAAGCUCUGGAGGUGUGAGACUCUAAUGUUGACCACAAAAACACUUUAGAAAUACAAAUGGUUCACACACUGAUGUCUAAUAGAACUUUAGGUCCUCACUAUUUUGUUUUUCCUCAUCAGUGGAUUCAAAAAUACACAUUAUAUGACACACACAAGUAAACCUCUAAAAGUUUUUUGGUCACUGCUCCAACUUACUUUAUGUAGUCCACUGAUGUUAUUGUAGGUCUAAAGCUCAUAAAAUCUAACUGCAAAGAAACUGAAUCAGCCACAUCUGAGUUUAAACUGUUUAACCAGUGUAUGGCAGGGUUGUGGUCUCCGGCCUGCUGCAGUGGAGGGGCAUACAGUGAGCUCUCAGGCGGCAUCGAGAUGGCAGAGGAGACAGGUUUAUGUGCUGUGACUGAUGACUUUCUCUCUUCCCCUGUAUAUAGUGACGGCGGAGACGCAGAGGAGAUCAAAUGUCAGUGAAGGAGCUGCAAGAGGAGCUGUUCCCUGUGUCACCAGUGCUGUAACCCAAAAGCUGCUGAACAAGCAAAAUAAACUCAGUUUCAAGCACAUCAAACCCUGUGUGUGUUGGAACCUUGCUACACAGUGAAACAAUGAUUAUUUUAAAAAUUUAAAUGAAAUCUGUGAAAGAUUUGUCCAAGAACAUUGCAGGAGCUCCUGACUGAGAAACCAAAUGAUUUUAAAUGUGACCUACAAAAUUAUUAUUUUCUGGAUUUUUAUAAUGAUCAGUCUGUUAUAAAUCUAA